AGAAAAGGUGGAUGAGUUGUGUGAGAGUUACUCCCUUGAAGGUUUUGUUAAAGUUACAGAAGAUAGUGCAGGUGUGGCACUUGAUGGAAAAACAGAAACUCAUUACUUAGAACUUCAAAAUUUUGUUUUGGAUGAUAUCAAAUGGGUUGACGAGAUUGAUGAACUGCUAGAAGCUACAAGUUACAUUGAGGAAUGCAAGGUUAUUGGCAUAGAUUCCG
rnacentral:misc_RNA from 1 species